rnacentral:lncRNA from 1 species
UAUUUCAGUACAUUAGUGCUUAAUUUCAGCAUUUUGUUAUCUUGUUUCAUGUUAUAAAAUAUUGUAAAUAUGUCUUUACAGACUGCCUUCAUUGAACUUGUUCCCGUGGCAACGGAUGACACCCCUCUUCCCUCACUACAAGAGACUGACAUUGAUAAUGGGACCUGUCCCAGCAGCACUGAUCAACAGACUGCCUUCAUUGAACUUGUUCCCGUGGCAACAGAUGACACCCCUCUUCCCUCACUACAAGAGACUGACAUUGAUAAUGGGACCUGUCCCAGCAGCACUGAUCAACAGACUGCCUUCAUUGAACUUGUUCCCGUGGCAACGGAUGACACCCCUCUUCCCUCACUACAAGAGACUGACAUUGAUAAUGGGACCUGUCCCAGCAGCACUGAUCAACAGUUUUGUAAUGAAGAUGAGAUUGAGGUACCAAGACUGAGACGCACCAAAAGUGUCAUAAUGAAAGACAUAGAUCUUGAAGAUUCCCCAGAACUAUAUGAUACAACAUCAGGAAGUGCUGAUGAUUACAUUCCAGAUACCACAUGUGAAAGUGAUAGUGACACUGACACUGGCCUUAAAGCAAACACAAGGACAACACGCCGGUCUCUUGAUGAAAAACUGGAGGAUUCCAGGUCAGGAAGUUCCCCUGUCUGUGACACCACAACACCAUACCAAAUCACUGCUGACAGAGUUUCUCUGCCAUCUGAUGACACUGAAGCAGAAGAGGAGCCUUCUUCAAGUCAGGCUGUAAAUGACUGCAUAGUUGUUAGCACAUGCCAAAAAAGAGGGGGAAAAAGAGUGUAUGACAAGAGGCACUACUGCUUGUAUUGCAGUAAGCCCAAUGCCAAGAUGGCAAGGCAUCUAGAACGUGCACAUCAAAAUAAACCCGAUGUAGCCAAAGCGAUAAGCUUUCCAAAGGGUUCCAAAGAGAGAAGAAAACAAUUAGAUCACAUUCGCAAGAAAGGAAACUUUGCACAUAAUGCUGCUGUUAUUGAAUCAGGAAAAGGGGAACUAGUUCCCUCUAAACGACCAUCUAAAGAAGCACAGGGAAAUGACUUCAUGCACUGUGCAUACUGUCAAGGAUUGUUCAAAAGAAAAGUCCUUUGGCGACAUAUGCGUCAUUGUACACUUAGACCAGGAUCUGUUGCAACCAAACCUGGAAAGAACCGUGUUCAGUCCAUGUGUACAUUCACAGGACCUGUUCCAGGCCAUAUCAGUACACAUCUGUGGAAGGUGAUCAGUGCCAUGAAUCCUGACCCAAUCACAGACAUAAUAAAAAGUGACCGGGUCAUUAUUGAUGUUGGACAGCACUUGUUAAACAAAGGCGGCACAUCAGCCAAGAAUCAACAGAAUGUACGAGAGAAGAUGCGAGAGAUGGGUAGGCUGAUUAACAACGCCAGAAGAGUCACCACCUUAAAAAAAAUGGAAGAUCUCAUAAAUCCAAAAAAGUAUAUGGAGACUGUUGCAGCUGUUAGGGCUACAUGUGGGUAUGACAGUGAGACAAACAAGUUCAUGAUUCCAUCACUAGCAAACAAACUUGGGAACACGCUGGUUAAAGUAAGCAAACUUUUAAAAGCUCAGGGUUUAAUCUCAGAC